rnacentral:rRNA from 1 species
GACGAACGCUGGCGGCGUGCCUAAUACAUGCAAGUUGAGCGCUGAAGGUUGGUACUUGUACCGACUGGAUGAGCAGCGAACGGGUGAGUAACGCGUGGGGAAUCUGCCUUUGAGCGGGGGGACAACAUUUGGAAACGAAUGCUAAUACCGCAUAAAAACUUUAAACACAAGUUUUAAGUUUGAAAGAUGCAAUUGCAUCACUCAAAGAUGAUCCCGCGUUGUAUUAGCUAGUUGG